AUACCACGAUGAGGACACCUCUGAAAUAACUCUUUAAAAUUUUUCCAUACAUCACAUAAGCUUUGAUCUUCAAGUUGAUGGAUGGAUGUGAUCUCAUUCCUCAAAUU
rfam:Citrus clementina cultivar Clemenules unplaced genomic scaffold scaffold_9, whole genome shotgun sequence.